rnacentral:rRNA from 1 species
UCCUUCUUUCUCUCUCUUUUUUCUUCUCUCCUUUUCUUAAAUCUCACUUAGGCGGCGUCGUAAGUCAGGGGUGAAAUCCCGGAGCUCAACUCCGGAACUGCCCUUGAAACUGCAAUGCUAGAAUCCUGGAGAGGCGAGUGGAAUUCCGAGUGUAGAGGUGAAAUUCGUAGAUAUUCGGAAGAACACCAGUGGCGAAGGCGACUCGCUGGACAAGUAUUGACGCUGAGGUGCGAAAGCGUGGGGAGCAAACAGG